CAGUCGCCGCGGUAAUACGAAGGGUGCAAGCGUUACUCGGAAUUACUGGGCGUAAAGCGUGCGUAGGUGGUGGUUUAAGUCCGUUGUGAAAGCCCUGGGCUCAACCUGGGAAUUGCAGUGGAUACUGGAUCACUAGAGUGUGGUAGAGGAUAGUGGGAUUUCCGGUGUAGCAGUGAAAUGCGUAGAGAUCGGAAGGAACAUCUGUGGCGAAGGCGACUAUCUGGGCCAACACUGACACUGAGGCACGGAAGCGUGGGGAGCAAACAGGAUUAGAUACCCCCGUAGUCCCUGUCUCUUAUAC
rnacentral:rRNA from 1 species